AGUGAACGCUGGCGGUAGGCCUAACACAUGCAAGUCGAACGGCAGCACAGUAAGAGCUUGCUCUUACGGGUGGCGAGUGGCGGACGGGUGAGGAAUACAUCGGAAUCUACUUUUUCGUGGGGGAUAACGUAGGGAAACUUACGCUAAUACCGCAUACGACCUACGGGUGAAAGCAGGGGAUCUUCGGACCUUGCGCGAUUGAAUGAGCCGAUGUCGGAUUAGCUAGUUGGCGGGGUAAAGGCCCACCAAGGCGACGAUCCGUAGCUGGUCUGAGAGGAUGAUCAGCCACACUGGAACUGAGACACGGUCCAGACUCCUACGGGAGGCAGCAGUGGGGAAUAUUGGACAAUGGGCGCAAGCCUGGUCCAGCCAUACCGCGUGGGUGAAGAAGGCCUUCGGGUUGUAAAGCCCUUUUGUUGGGAAAGAAAAGCAGCAGGUUAAUACCCCGCUGUUCUGACGUUACCCAAAGAAUAAGCACCGGCUAACUUCGUG
rnacentral:rRNA from 1 species